GCUCGUUACUUCUCUCUCCUCUCUUCUCUCUGUUUGUGUUUCAAUAAUGAAUUGAUUGUUGUAGCCACAACUAAGAAUCGCCAGAUCGUGCCACAGGCCCGGGUUUCCCCUCCCCUCUUCGCCCUCCUCCCCUUUUUCCCUCCCUUUCCGUACACACGCGCACACACACGCACACUCACACACAUACACACAUACACACACACACACGCGCGCGCGCGCGCACAUACACAGACACUACCCGGACGACCGGGACCAGAGUCUCUCCACAGCGGCCGCAGCGCGGCCCGGGCUCCGGGAGGAGACCAGCAGAGUCCCACCGCCGGCCGGGGACACCCUUUCCACAGGUAAUUUGAAAAGAGUCCAAAAUAACUUGUGACCAUUUGGAAGGAAGCAAGGAACAGUCUGAAGUAAGCAAUCCAGCUUGUAAACUGGGAAGAUUUAUAUUUUAUUUUAAACUUCUGAAUAUUUACAAUGAAUGGACACAGUGAUGAAGAAAGUGUUAGAAACAGUAGUGGAGAAUCCAGCCAGUCGGAUGAUGAUUCUGGAUCAGCUUCUGGAUCUGGUUCUGGAUCAAGCUCUGGAAGCAGUAGUGAUGGGAGCAGCAGUCAGUCAGGCAGCAGUGAUUCUGAUUCCGGGUCUGACUCAGGCAGUCACUCUGAUUCUGAGUCAGAUACUUCUAGAGAAAAGAAAGUACAAUCAAAACCACCAAAAGUUGAUAGCUCUGAGGUAAAAAACAAAACAUUCUAAUGUAUGUGUCUUAUAUUAUUGCAUUUUUUCCUUAGUUCAUUUU
rnacentral:lncRNA from 1 species